rnacentral:rRNA from 1 species
GCCAAAACGUAAAAUUAACUCACCCCCUCCCCACGCCAGGGCAUUACGAGCCUAGCUUAAAACCCAAAGGACUUGACGGUACCCUACCAGACUAGAGGAGCCUGUUCUAUAAUCGAUAAUCCACGUUAUACCCGACCAUUUUUUGCCCUCAGCCUGUAUACCUCCGUCGUAAGCCUACCAUAUGAACGCUCAACAGUAAGCCUAAAGGCUCACCGCCACAACGUCAGGUCAAGGUGCAGCUCAUGAAAUGGAAGCAAUGGGCUACAAUUUCUAAUCUAGAACAAACAAAACACUAUGUGAAAUAUAGUAUAAAGAAGGAUUUAGCAGUAAAUAAGGAAUAGAGAGCCUUAUUCAAUCCGGCCCUAGGGUGUGU